UGAUAGACGCCCCCGUCCCGCAAGGGCGACAGCAUUCGAUCUGGAAGCCCUUCUUCACCCGGCCACGAAAAGCCCCUCAUGGACGAUCCAUCGGCCCGUACCGCAAUCCGACACAGGUGUGCUAGGCGAGUAUCCGAAGGCGUUCGGGAGAACCCUCGUGAAGGAACUCGGCAAAAUGACCCCGUACCUUCGGUAUAAGGGGUGCUCAGGGGCAACCCGAGCCGCAGAGAAUCGGCUCUAGCGACUGUUUAUCAAAAACACAGGACUCUGCCAACUCGCAAGAGGACGUAUAGAGUCUGACGCCUGCUCGGUGUCGGUAGGUUAAGGGAGCCGAUCAGCGCAAGCGAAGCCGGCGACCGAAGCCCCGGUGAACGGCGGCCGUAACUAUACGGUCCUAAGGUAGCGAAAUUCCUUGUCGGGUAAGUUCCGACCUGCAUGAAUGGCGUAACGACUGGAGCACUGUCUCCACGAGAGACCCGGUGAAACUGUAGCCGUGGUGAAGAUGCCACGUACCCGCGGUCAGACGGAAAGACCCCGUGAACCUUUACUGCAGGUUG
rnacentral:ncRNA from 1 species